CACGCUGUAAACGUUGUAUACUAGGUGUUAGUGGCUUGUCCACUAGUGCCGCAGCAAACGCAUUAAGUAUACCGCCUGGGGAGUACGCCCGCAAGGGUGAAACUCAAAGAAAUUGACGGGGGCCCGCACAAGCGGUGGAGCAUGUGGUUUAAUUCGAUGAUACGCGAAGAACCUUACCUGGGCUUGAACUGUGCAUGACCGGCGUAGAGAUACGUCCUUCCUUCGGGACAUGUAUAGAGGUGC
rnacentral:rRNA from 1 species